rnacentral:rRNA from 1 species
AACGAACGCUGGCGGCAUGCCUAACACAUGCAAGUCGAACGAAGCCUUCGGGCUUAGUGGCGGACGGGUGAGUAACACGUGGGAACGUACCUUUUGGUUCGGAACAACUCAGGGAACCUUGAGCUAAUACCGGAUGAGCCCUUAGGGGGAAAGAUUUAUCGCCGAAAGAGCGGCCCGCGUUAGAUUAGCUAGUUGGUGAGGUAAAGGCUCACCAAGGCUACGAUCUAUAGCUGGUCUGAGAGGAUGAUCAGCCACACUGGGACUGAGACACGGCCCAGACUCCUACGGGAGGCAGCAGUGGGGAAUCUUGCGCAAUGGGCGAAAGCCUGACGCAGCCAUGCCGCGUGAAUGAUGAAGGUCUUAGGAUUGUAAAAUUCUUUUACCAGGGACGAUAAUGACGGUACCUGGAGAAAAAGCCCCGGCUAACUUCGUGCCAGCCGCCGCCGUAAUAC